AACGAACGCUGGCGGCAGGCUUAACACAUGCAAGUCGAACGCCCCGCAAGGGGAGUGGCAGACGGGUGAGUAACGCGUGGGAAUCUACCCAGAACUACGGAACAACUGAGGGAAACUUCAGCUAAUACCGUAUACGCCCUACGGGGAAAGAUUUAUCGGUUCUGGAUGAGCCCGCGUAAGAUUAGCUAGUUGGUGGGGUA
rnacentral:rRNA from 1 species